UACGUAGGUGGCAAGCGUUAUCCGGAAUUAUUGGGCGUAGAGAGCGCGCAGGUGGUUAAUUAAGUCUGAUGUGAAAGCCCACGGCUUAACCGUGGAGGGUCAUUGGAAACUGGUUGACUUGAGUGCAGAAGAGGGAAGUGGAAUUCCAUGUGUAGCGGUGAAAUGCGUAGAGAUAUGGAGGAACACCAGUGGCGAAGGCGGCUUCCUGGUCUGCAACUGACACUGAGGCGCGAAAGCGUGGGGAGCAAACAGG
rnacentral:rRNA from 1 species